CAUGGGUCUCUGGGGUGCCUUGCAACACGUGCAUUCUUGCAAGUGAGCAAAGAGAGCGGGGACCUCUUGUGAAGGGGCUACUAGGAAGCGAGUUGCCCGGUGUCUCCCCCGCUCUCCGUGCGGGCGUGAGUUGUAUCUGAUACCCUUUGACGGACUUAUCUCAUCCCUUUCGAAAACCGGCCAAGUUGGCAGUAUCUUGCGGUGGUCACGCCUUGCGUUUAAAAUACUGGGUUUCUCAGCUUUGGCAACUUUUAAGACGUGUGGACUUCAGCUCGCGGAAUUAAUGAGAUCCAUGUAUGCUGUGCCUUCCCAAUUCCAGUGGCAGAUUAAUCUGGAGAGGAUUUUAUCCACGUUAGAAUUUUGGAAGCAGAAAAUUAAGGACCACCUUCACCAGCCCUCCUGCCACUCUGAGAUUAGAUUGCUACAAAUGGGAUUGCUUUGAUGACGCCUUGGUUUUGAAGUGUCUUCCCAGAGUGGUUGAUGUCAUCUCUAUAUUCUAUUUGGCAGCAACCAACUUGUUCUUAGUUUGGUUUGGUUUUUAUUUCCCUGGGCAUAUUCCCAUCAUAACUAGGCUUUAUCCUGCUGCUAUUUUGCUAUUUUACUUUGUUCUAAAUUGGUUCAAAACAUUUUUUAUUUCUGGGUUUUAUUAACAGAAAAACAGAAAUAAUGAAGUAAUGUGUUUUUACUGUUAAUAGAAUAGAAACUGACUAGUCCUAAUAAAAUACUUUACAAGAUCAUUUCAUUUGACUUUUCUUAUGCAUCAAUAUAGGUAGAUGUCUGACAGUCAACUUCUAAACAAAUUGUUGUUUAGACAAUUUGAACCAAAGAAAACAAACAGAACCAGAUAACAUCCAUAAUACCAACAUUACAGGACAAUUUCAUGAUUCUUGGAAAUCUAUUUUUUCUAAUUUCUCACUGUGAGCUGCCACUUUUAAUUUCUUACUUACUCAUGACUCAGUCCAUAGGAUAUAAAGGUAUCUUGUUAUUCAGCCAUCAGAUAUCUUCUCUAUAUUCAAAUGGCACAAAGUCAUUUUGUUAUAGAUCAGAAAAAAAUAUAAAAGUUUGCCUUCUGUGCUGAUUUUAAAGCUGCUUCUGUGUUUUACAUAUUCCAGAAAAGA